CCGUCCGUCGCAGCAGCUUGUUCCUGUGCGACUCGGAACGCCGCUCGCGCAUCAACAAAGGGUGAACCUGCGGGCAGCAGAGAUAGAAGAAGAAAUUAAGUCAUAUGGUGUGGAAUGACAUGAGGCCGCAGGUCAGAUCUGAUAUUCUGCCCCGCUGUCCCUGCUCCCGUUCCACCAGUCCCCACCUCUGACCCACCAGCCAAUCAGAAGCCAUCCUGACAGAUGGUGGCAGCAUCCGAGGGAUGCUGGACCGGCGAAGGACGUUCUGUCCAGGCUCACACAUAUUUCUCAGAUUUCCUCCAAAGAGUCGAAGCAACAGAGAAACACAGUCGCAAAACAGAUCGCUGGAUUUAAGCAGCCUUAUGUUUGGUGGAAUUUAGACUAAUGGACUUUUCCUGUUUUUUGGCUUUCAGUUUGUUGGAGAUGUUCCUGCUUCACUGAUGAAGCUAGUCACAUGAGUUGGUUUGCAGUAAAUGAAAAGUCUAUUUGCUUUCAAAUUAACUUUAGCAGAUGUCUUACAAUGAUCUGGAUAAGCUAAAUUAUUUACAUACUAUAAACCAAAGCAAACUAUUUCUAUUUUACAUUGAACUGUAAAUACAGGAACAGAUGAUCUGUGAUAUUUGUU